AACGAACGCUGGCGGCAUGCCUAACACAUGCAAGUCGAACGAACCCUUCGGGUCUUUUGGCUCCCGGUUUCGUAACGCGUGGGAACCUUCCCUUAUGUUCGGCCUACCUCCCCGACUGGGGUGCUUAUACCGGAUAAUGUCUUCUGCCCAAAGAUUUUUCGCCUUUGGUUGGGCCCGCGUUGGAUUAGCUCUUUGUUAGGGUAAAAGCCUACCAAGGCGACGAUCCAUAGCUGGUCUGAGAGGAUGAUCAGCAAAACUGGGAAUGAGACACGGCCAAGACUCCUACGGGAGGAAGCAGUGGGGAAUAGUGGAAAAGGGGCGAAAGUCUGAUACAGCAAUGCAGCGUGAGAGAUGAAGGACAUAGGGUAGUAAAGCUCUUUUAACCGGGAUGAUAAUGACAGUACCGUGAGAAUAAGCCCAGGCUAACUCAGUG
rnacentral:rRNA from 1 species